UGCAGGGACUGAAAUGUAAAUCUGCAGGUUGCAAUGCACUUUUGCAAUUUUCAGGGGCUAAGCUGCAUUUUCUGGACUUAUCCCUUCACCCUUAGUGGAAUACACCUGUCCCAAGGCAGAGAUUCCAUUUCUCUUCUCUCCUUAUCAUCUAUUUUCUUCUCUUUCUCUCUCUCUAGGCUAGUGAAAGCUGAUGGACUUGAGUUUUUCCUUGUGUUGAGCUGAGAGCAGGGGACUAAUUGGAGAGAUCUCUAUAUUAAGGAGCUGUGAAAGAGGGAAUUAGUGAAGAAGCAAGUGCAAAUCUGAAAUCUGAGCUGAAUUCCUGUUGUUGGAGCAGCAAGCUUGUGCUGUUGGUGAUGUGGGUGCUGAGAUCAAUUAGAUAAGGUCUCUAGUUAAGCUAGCAGGCUAAACAUUUUGGUCUGAUGGAAUGGCCGAAUCAAGGAAAACCAGCUAAGGACCUUGGAACUUGAGGGGGUUCAACUUGUUGAAGCAGGAUGAAAAGAAGCCCUUGCUGUUGAAGUUACUGAAUUAGAGGAUUGAGCUAUUUGAAGCAGUGACUAAGGAAGUUGCCACUUGAAGCUGCUGCUUGGUGAAAAUUCUGAGCACCCAGAAUUGGAGAGGAGGAAGGAGCCUCUGGGUGUUUUGCAAUUCAGCAAGUCUAGUACAACCUUGAAGUGGAGCCUUGAAGUAAGUGAGGUCGACGAUGCGCUAAUUACGGUAGAGGCCGUUCUAGUUCUAUUUGCGCUGGGUCGCGAGAGAUAGUUGUCGACGAGUCCCGAGACAUUGAUCUUAGUUGUUGACACCACUACAGGUUCCAGUGCGAGCGUUGUGGCCAUGGAUCGCGGCAAGGGCCCCGCAGCUUAGCUAGCUGACACCAGAGUUCUAGUAGUUUACCAUUUUGGCUUCAUGUAUCAUCUAGUUUGAUGUACAGAGACAUGUAAAUGAAUGUAUUAUAGAAUAUGUAAAUAACUAAAUGCUUUCAUACUCAGUUAUGCAAAGUUCAGUUUGAAAGUUUUAAAUUACA